UUACCGAGUUUACAACUCCCAAACCCAAUGUGAACGUUACCAAACUGUUGCCUCGGCGGGAUCUCUGCCCCGGGUGCGUCGCAGCCCCGGACCAAGGCGCCCGCCGGAGGACCAACCAAAACUCUUUUUGUAUACCCCCUCGCGGGUUUUUUAUAAUCUGAGCCUUCUCGGCGCCUCUCGUAGGCGUUUCGAAAAUGAAUCAAAACUUUCAACAACGGAUCUCUUGGUUCUGGCAUCGAUGAAGAACGCAGCGAAAUGCGAUAAGUAAUGUGAAUUGCAGAAUUCAGUGAAUCAUCGAAUCUUUGAACGCACAUUGCGCCCGCCAGUAUUCUGGCGGGCAUGCCUGUCCGAGCGUCAUUUCAACCCUCGAACCCCUCCGGGGGGUCGGCGUUGGGGAUCGGCCCUGCCUCUUGGCGGUGGCCGUCUCCGAAAUACAGUGGCGGUCUCGCCGCAGCCUCUCCUGCGCAGUAGUUUGCACACUCGCAUCGGGAGCGCGGCGCGUCCACAGCCGUUAAACACCCAACUUCUGAAAUGUUGACCUCGGAUCAGGUAGGAAUACCCGCUGAACUUAAGCAUAUCAAUAAGCGGAGGAAAAGAAACCAACAG
rnacentral:rRNA from 1 species